CUACGGGUGGCACCAGUAGGGAAUUUUGCGCAAUGGGCGAAAGCCUGACGCAGCAACACCGCGUGAACGAUGACGCUUUUCGGAGUGUAAAGUUCUGUCAGUGGGGACGAAUUUUGACGGUACCCACAGAGGAAGCACCGGCUAACUCCGUGCCAGCAGCCGCGGUAAUACGGAGGGUGCAAGCGUUGUCCGGAAUCAUUGGGCGUAAAGAGUUCGUAGGUGGUGUGUUAAGUCUGGUGUUAAAGCCCGAAGCUCAACUUCGGUUCGGCACUGGAUACUGGCAAACUUGAAUGUGGUAGAGGUAAAGGGAAUUCCGGGUGUAGCGGUGAAAUGCGUAGAUAUCAGGAGGAACAUCGGUGGCGUAAGCGCUUUACUGGGCCAUAAUUGACACUGAGGAACGAAAGCCGGGGUAGCAAAUGGGAUUAGAUACCCGGGUAGUC
rnacentral:rRNA from 1 species